GGGGACGUCUUGGUGAGCAGGUCAGGUUGAUAGCCACGCCCUGCCCGGGUUCGAAUCCCGGCGUCUCCACCA
rnacentral:tRNA from 2 species